rnacentral:tRNA from 1 species
GAGGGUAUAGCUCAAGCGGUAGAGCACCUGCUUGGCAUGCAUGAGGUCCUGGGUUCAAUCCCCAGUACCUCCU